GGCCCCUCGGCCCCGGAGAGCUGCGCAUGCCAGGGACAGGGCAGGAGAUGGGCGGACGGGGCACAGUGUGGGCGCUGCCCCGGAACUGCCCGGCUGGGAGCCCCAGGGACAGGUCCUCCUGGGUCAGUGCUGAGCCACGCCUCGGUGACUCAGCCCAGGUGUGCAGGCGGGGACACCUGCAGGAAACCCCGUUCGGGGCCAGGCAGGUGUGGCCUGCUUCACUCCAGUACAGUCGGCCUGCCUCCCACACACGGCUCUGGAGGCAGGCCACAGUGGGCCAGGCGGCUCCGGGCUGCCGCCUGCUGGUGGGCUGAGACAGGCCCAGGCCACUGUCCCUCGCGGUGGGGGCUCCAUACGGAUGGGCAGUGCCACCCAGAAGCAGGUAAAGCCGGCUCUGGACGGCAGGUGUCCUCCUGUCGCCUCAUGGGGUCUGCAGGCCAUCCGGACAUGACGGCCGUCCUCACCUUCCCUGGGCCUGAGGUUCACGGGCUGGACAGGGAAGGACGCCCAGAGCCCCACACAGGAUGGAUGAAGAGUGGGGGCCCUGGGGGGCUGGGGAGGGUGCAGCGGGUGAUCACGUGGGCUUGGGAAACCACAGAGACAGUGGUGAGGGUCCCCCAGGGCGGGGCAGGUGCUGGGACCUGUGCCGGCGAACGUGGGGGAGGGUCAGGGCAUAGGGGUAGCUUCCAGACCUUCGCACCCAAGGUCGCAAACGCCAUCGGCAAGGUCAACCAGGUGGCUUGGUUUCUUCAGACUCAUUCUUCUGGGUUGAGAUGUCAUCGUGUGAUUUGUGCACGAUGACCUAGGAGGCCUUUAUUCAAGAGCCCCUAGCGGUGGGCUCUGGGAGCAGGGCCAGCGUGAUGAGGGUGACGCUGGGGAGGAGUCCUGACCCUCACACAGCUCCCACCCCGCAGAGCACCCCAUCCCUGCACCGCCUGGGGGCCACAUGGCACCUCAGCGGCAGCCAGCCUACAGGACGACGUUCAGGACCCUAACCCUACUGCCCCUCUGCUUCUAGACCUGUGACCAGAAGCCUCGGGCCUGAAGAAAUGUGUGGGGAUGGAUGUGGAGGCUGUGGGAGAAGAGCGGCAGGAAGCUAACGCUGGACCAGGCAGACCCAAGACAGCCGACGUGGGCUCAUCAAGCAGCCAUCCAUGUUCAGGUCGCAACCUGGGGAUUGCACGCUUGUCCGUCACAUGGACGACGGUGCUCGUGGCUCCUCGAGACCUACUGGCAAGACAUCUGCGGUCAGAGGCAGGAGUCAAUCCAACAGUAACUCAGAGGCUUCCGUCCUCGGCAACAUUUCUGGGCCCCAUGGCGUGGGGAGCGCGGAGCCAGGUCUUCGGGGGUGAGCGCUUAGCUGGACGUCCCGCAACCCAGGAAGAGGCCGCCACCUAAUGGGUCUCUCCGGGUCUCUCCGACUGCUGGAGACGACCGUUCCUCCCCAGAGCGUAGUACUUCGGCCACUUUACCGAACGACCUAAAGGGCUGGGGGUUUGAGUGGGGUGAGUGGGGCCCAGGACAGGAGGAGGCGCUAGGACGGGUGCGGGCUGCGGUGUGAGCUGCGCUAUCUCAUGGGCCAUGUGGUGCCUGGAGCGCCAGAGCCAGACGGAGAUGCAGUGUCCUCCACAACCCCCAGCGUGUUCUCUGUGUGGUGUUUGAGGACGACCAUCCCUACUUCGAUCCUCCUGUUCCCACCUGUACAUGGACUUGAGGAAGUCACGGUGAGGACCACGUGGGGCGCGGGAGGCCCUGGCCUGGCCUUGUCCCCCAUAAGCGGCCGUGGCAGCCACAGGCGCUCAGAGUGGGGGAGAUGCCUGUGGGCGUCACCCUCCUCCCGCCCCCUUGACCUGAGCAGCCACCUGCCUGCCAGCCUCGGAAUGUCAUUGAGAAAGUGACGUGGGAACGCCCAGAGAGCCUGUGAAAACAUUGUCAGUCAAAUUCCUUGAACAGGAGAGUGAGUACACUUGCUGGGAGAAAGUCAAUUGUGCCAGAGGAACUGAGGGAAGAAAGAGUGGUUUCCCUUCACUCUACGGCUGCCGUGCAAGGAUGCAUCUCCCCAUUCUCCCACUGGGUUGCAGGUGCAUGUGUGUGUGAGCGUUUGAGUGUCUGAGUGUGUGCACGUGUGUAUGUGCAUGAGCAUUGUGUGUGUGCACAAAUGGACGUGU